AUGGAAGUGCCUUUCUCCGGCUUUGAGCUGGCCUUCAUCGUGGUCGCUUUCGUCGUCUUCUCGCUCUUCAGCAUCGCUUCCGUCUGCAUCCGGCCAGACGAGGGCCUGCGGCCAGAUGAAGACGUCCGCGAGGCUGCAAGAGGGAAGCAGAGAGUGAUCAGCAGGCAGGCAAAACCGCAGACACACUAAAGGAAGCAUGAAAAGACACGCUGGCAAUUAAAGCAAGAGAGGAAGUUUCUUAUCUGCGGGUCCUCGGGAGAUGAGGACGAGGAGGAAGAAGGUUGAGAAGAUGCAAGCUGUCCAGAGGUUGUAAAGAUCACAGCAGAGAACACCAGAAAUCACUUUUUUUCCUCUUUGCCAUCACAACAAAAAACAUCGCCUCCAAAAACGCAAGUCACAUUUUUCAACCUUUUGCUUCAAAUGUCGCAUUUAAUCUUUUCUUGUUGGUGGUUCUGUGCUUAUAUUUUAGUUUUCCUCUUUAUGCUUCGGCUAGACUCCAAAUUGUGCACAGUAAAGAUAUCGCGACGUGACCUUAUGUCCCAUGCAGACCGUAUGUCCAGGGGUGUGUAGACUUUUUCUGUACAAUAUUAUACAGUGUGUCUAAAAAGUCUCAACACUCCGAAUUAAAAUGCCAGGUUUUUUGAUUUAAAAAAAAAAAAAAAAAAAAAAACACGGAACCAAGAUAAAUCAUUUGAAGGCUUUUUAAGGGGAAAUUAAUGUCAUUGCAUAAGUUUACGCACCCUCUUUUAACUGUGGUAUGGCUCUCACAAUGAACCAAUCACACACAAAAAAAAAACUCUUGCGAUUUUAGCAACACUAUGGAUGUCCCAAUCACACUUUUUGGGCACCCAUAGCAGAGUCCAAAUUCCGAUACCAUUUUCUUUUUUUUUUUCAACUUAAUUAUACAGAUUAGAGGCCACAUUAAAGGGGAAGUCAAACCAAAAGUGUUCUCAACGCGGCAUUCUGAUUAAUACUGCAUUUGUGAACUAUAAAUUAACACUAGCAGCAAAAUCUCAUUUGGUCAUGUGACAUUCACAAGCUGUGCCCUAAUUGGUCAUUACCUGAGCCCUGUGAU